UAUCAUUAACUUUAGUUUUAGCACAUGUUUCAACAAGUGAUUUAUAAUGUCAUAAUCUUAGUUUCCAAAAUUUAGUCUAAAAUAAUUCUAUUUCUUUUUCACAUGCACAUGAAUAUCAGCCUUUUAUCACAUAUACAACCGGGAGGAUUCACCUAUAUACUUUGUGUUAGAAUUUCAAGAAUAUGGCAAUUUCGAGGAAAAAAUGAUGAUGAUCCAGUGAAGCACCUUGACCUUGUUGUCAUAGAUCAAAAGGGCGAUUCCAUGUAUGCAGAAAUACCUCCAGAUGCAAUAUUAAUGCUCGAGCCACAACUAAAAGAAGGAAAGAUAGUCUUCAUGAGAAAGAUAACUGUUGAAAGAACAAAGCCCGGAUACAAAGUUGUUCAAAAUCCUUACAUGAUCAGACUUAAUAGGAGAACUGAAAUAGCUGAAGUGCAGAAUGAACCUCCAGAUUUUCCGUAAUAUACUUUCACUCUUACAGCUUUUCCAGAUUUGUAUCAACAACAAACAAAACAGAUAGAUUUCUUGAUGUUAUAGGCCAGAUCACUUCGGUUUCGAAUGCUGCAAGAGUGUUAACAAACCAAGGAAAAUUGCAGCCAAAGAGGAUUAUCAACCUACAAGAUCUCAAUGGGAACAAAAUUGACCUCUCGCUUUGGGGUACAAGAGCACUGGAAUUCAAUGCAGACUCAGUUUAUGAAAUAGGCCAAACAAAUCACAUUAUAGCUAUCUUUGUCGGUACUUCUGUGAAGUCAUACAGUGGUGGAUCUCCUUUUCUAAGCAGCACUUCAGCCUGUCGUUGGUUAAAAAA